rnacentral:rRNA from 1 species
GAUGAACGCUGGCGGCGUGCCUAAUACAUGCAAGUCGAGCGAACAGACGAGGAGCUUGCUCCUCUGACGUUAGCGGCGGACGGGUGAGUAACACGUGGAUAACCUACCUAUAAGACUGGGAUAACUUCGGGAAACCGGAGCUAAUACCGGAUAAUAUAUUGAACCGCAUGAUUCAAUAGUGAAAGACGGUUUUGCUGUCACUUAUAGAUGGAUCCGCGCCGCAUUAGCUAGUUGGUAAGGUAACGGCUUACCAAGGCAACGAUGCGUAGCCGACCUGAGAGGGUGAUCGGCCACACUGGAACUGAGACACGGUCCAGACUCCUACGGGAGGCAGCAGUAGGGAAUCUUCCGCAAUGGGCGAAAGCCUGACGGAGCAACGCCGCGUGAGUGAUGAAGGUCUUCGGAUCGUAAAACUCUGUUAUCAGGGAAGAACAAAUGUGUAAGUAACUAUGCACGUCUUGACGGUACCUAAUCAGAAAGCCACGGCUAACUACGUG